rnacentral:rRNA from 1 species
AGAGUUUGAUCCUGGCUCAGAACGAACGCUGGCGGCGUGUCUUAAGCAUGCAAGUCGUGCGGCAAGGGGUAGCAAUACCCCCUAGAGCGGCGGACUGGUGAGUAACGCGUGGGUGAUCUGCCCUUGGGAUGGGGAUAGCCACUAKAAAUAGUGGGUAAUACCGAAUACGUUCGGCAGGCUACGGUCUGUCGAGGAAAAGCGCUUCGGCGCUGCCCGAGGAUGAGCCCGCGUCCCAUUAGCUAGUUGGUGAGGUAACGGCCCACCAAGGCGAUGAUGGGUAGGCGGCCUGAGAGGGUGUACGCCCACACUGGGACUGAGAUACGGCCCAGACUCCUACGGGAGGCAGCAGCUAAGAAUAUUCCGCAAUGGACGAAAGUCUGACGGAGCGACGCCGCGUGGAUGACGAAGGCCGAAAGGUUGUAAAGUCCUUUUGCUGGGGAAGAAUAACCAUGGGAGGGAAUGCCCGUGGGAUGACAUGAACCGGCGAAUAAGCCCCGGCUARCUACGUGCCAGCAGCCGCGGUAACACGUAGGGGGCGAGCGUUGUUCGGAAUUACUGGGCGUAAAGGGCAUGUAGGCGGCUCUGUAAGCCUGGCGUGAAAGUCACCGGCUCAACCGGUGGAUUGCGCUGGGAACUGCGGGGCUCGAGUCAUGGAGAGGRAGCUAGAAUUCCUGGUGUAGGGGUGAAAUCUGUAGAGAUCAGGAAGAAUACCAGUGGCGAAGGCGAGCUCCUGGCCAAUGACUGACGCUGAGGUGCGAAAGUGUGGGGAUCAAACAGGAUUAGAUACCCUGGUAGUCC